rnacentral:lncRNA from 1 species
AGCAAGAUAGAACAGUGCGCGUGAACCGAGACUACUCAUUGAUGAUGCAAUCAACUGCAAAUUCUACGGAGCAUACAAGAAAGAAUUAAUCAUAAGUAGAUGAAGGAAAUCAAUCUUCAAGAUCAAUGGAAGAAGAGAGAAACUGGUUGUAACCUAAGAAGCAUGGGGACGGAUACGUAAUACGGAUACGAUACGGUACGGGGACGUAAAUACGUCAUUUUUCCAAAAAUCAAGAUACGAUACGUCAAAAAUACGUUUUAGUUUUUUUAUUUAAAAUAUAUUUUAUAUAUAUUAUAAAUUCAUAAUUCACCAAGAAUAUAAGUAAAACACUACUAAUUCAUCAUAACAAAGUUCCAAAUAGCAAAUAAUGAAAUAAAACACAAUAAAAUGUUAGUAGCCCAGAUCACUCAUCAUCGUCUUUCUCCUCCUCCUCCUCUUCCUCUUCCCUCAAAUCUUCAUCAUCAUUGAAGACAACUCUCUCCAAUUCUGGCUCAUCCAGAGAUAAUUCAGCAAACUCUAGCUCCCCAACAUCCGCAAAUGUGCCAAAUUUAUCUCCUCCUAUAUCCCACAUCUUUGUUUCACCUCUUAAGUAAUCAGGUGUUCUUCUAGAUAGCAAACGAAGGUUGCUAUGAACGAACACCAAAUCUUCUGCACGUUUAGGUGUCAUCUUGUUUCUUCUCAAAGAGUGGAUGAACGAGUAUGUGCUCCAAUUCCUCUCAGCACAUGAUGAGGAUGAGGGUUGCACAAGUAACUUCAAUGCUAAACAUUGAAGUGCAGGUGCACUUGUGAGCGGCGGGCUGGCGCAGGGAGGCGCGACGGCGAGCGGCGGGCUGGCGCAGGGAGGCGCGACGGCGAGCGGCGGGUGGGUCAGAGAGGAGAGUGCGAACGUAAAUGGUGAGUUAGGGUUUUACAAGUUUAGAGGUUUAAAAUUUUGACUGAAACGUAUUUUUGGCUUCAAAUACGUAUUUGACCGUCUGGUCAACGUAUUUUAAACGUAUUUUUUAUUUAAAAAUUAAUUAAAAAAAGGGGUGUUAAAAAUACGUCCCCGGGGACGUAUUUUACGCGUAUUUUGCGCGUAUCGUCCCCGGGACGUCCCCGGGACGCGAACGCCCAGCAAAGUGCCGUCCCCAUGCUUCAUAGGUUGUAACUAAUAAAUAUUUUGUAAAAUCCACUUGGAACUCUCAUUCCCCAAUUAGAUUAACCGUUAUUCUCUCGAUAACAUAACUCAUGCGACACUAACCUGAAGAUACUCAAAAAUCGUAGUGAAUGAAAGUUUCAGUAAGGUGCC